rnacentral:rRNA from 1 species
GACGAACGCUGGCGGCGCGCUUAACACAUGCAAGUCGAGCGAGAACCAGGGCUUCGGCCCUGGGGACAGCGGCGAACGGGUGAGUAUCACGUGGAUAACCUGCCCUCGGCACCGAAUAGCCCGGGGAAACUCGGAUUAAUGCCGGAUAGCCCCACAGCCCCUCGGGGCGGUGGGAAAAGGUAGCUUCGGCCUCUGGCCGAGGAUGGGUCCGCGGCGGAUUAGCUUGUUGGCGGGGUAAUGGCCCACCAAGGCGACGAUCCGUAGCUGGUCUGGGAGGACGAUCAGCCACACUGGGACUGAGAGACGGCCCAGACUCCUACGGGAGGCAGCAGUGGGGAAUCUUGCGCAAUGGGCGAAAGCCUGACGCAGCGACGCCGCGUGCGGGAAGAAGGCCUUAGGGUUGUAAACCGCUUUCAGGAGGGACGAGGCCACUCGGGUGAACAGCCCAGAGGGUGACGGUACCUCCAGAAGAAGCCCCGGCUAACUACGUGCCAGCAGCCGCCGUAAGAC